rnacentral:rRNA from 4 species
UUUGCGGCGGCCAUGGCCCAGGUGAGACGCCCGGUCCCAUUCCGAACCCGGAAGCUAAGGCCUGGCACGGCGAUGGUACUGCACCCGACAGGGUGUGGGAGAGUAGCACGCCGCCGCACC